rnacentral:ncRNA from 1 species
AAAAACACGUUGAAAAGAAGAGUAGCUAUUAGCAGAUGGCAAGAGAGUCCCCGUUUGGUGUGAGAGGAUGAUUUACUUAUAGUGAAAAUCACUUUGAGUGCCAGGAUGAAAGAUAGUAAUUUCUGGUGGGAGUAGCCCAUUAUAGCUACCGUGUUUAAUACAAAGAGUAUUGAACAUUUGAGGCUAGUAGUGUGAACUACUGGCGAAUAAAGGUGGUAACACGCAGAAGCGUCCUUAGA